AUUUUCUACAGGUCUUAAUCUAGCCUUUGCAGGUUUUGCCCUCUCUGUUCAAUCAUUUAUAUAUUACUUAUUGUUAACAGGUGCAACACUUGAUGUCUUAGGUUGUUGGUGUUGAAAUUUUUGCAAAGGUUGUUUCUCGAAUUUUCUAUCCUGCUCAACCAUUUGGUCUAUCAUCUUCUAAAGAUGGUUCAACGCUAAUAGAUGCAACAACUGGUGGGCAUAUUGUUGCUACUGACAUUGUUCAGAUUUGCAGCAUAGGAAGUUCAUAAUUCCAAAAAGAUGAUCCACAAUAUGAAUCAAAAUCUUGCUCAUAUGAAGAGUCCUCAAUACACUGUUGCAUCUCAUUAUCAUCUUCUUUGAUCUAAUAUGCUAUCCAUUCAGAAAAAGCAUAUAUUAUGUCUAGAUUCAAUUUGCGGAUUCAAGGGUGAUUAGAACCAGACUUGCCUGGGCUCUCAACAUGUAACCAUAGCAUGAGUAUAUUUUCUUCUUCUCCACUGGAUAGUAUAAAUUGGAUCAGUCCAAGCACCUGUUUUGUAGAGGCUAGAGAACUCAGUAACCAAUGCUCUUGCCACAUGAGAAAGCAUCAACAGAAGUUCAUGCUGAAUUGAAAUACAAGAAAUGUUAAAGCUAUCCUUGAUCGAGCUGAAAAAGAACUGCUGCUCUCCGUAUCUCCAUCCAACAUCAUAAGAGUAGUACAAUUUUCUCCUCGAGGAAAAAAAAACGAAGAAAAGAGACGAAACAGAAUUUGCACAGAAGACUAUGCAAUGGAAGAAAACGUUAACAGGAGAUUUUUUGAUUUCAACAGCUGGAAGACUUUAUAUCGAGGAAGCACGCGAUCCUCCAUGCUGUACAUUAAAAUCUGAGGCCGGUGAAUAAGGACUGACUUGGGCAGCACAACUGUAUGCAAGAAGAACUUCAUUCCAACUUUCAACUUCAUCUCUGAUGUUCUGAACAAAGUCGGGGUUCUCUUGAACAUUUCAUUCUUGAAUUUUCACGGAAGCCCAAGUCUACAGCUCGAGAAACAAGGUUUUCAAUAGUGGACUGCUGUGCAAUGAAAAUCCUUGGGUGAAGUUUGAGUAGCAAUGCAAAAUGAGUCCCAAGAAUGCCAC